rnacentral:rRNA from 1 species
GAAUCCUCCCGGGCGGUCGCAGCUACCAGGGAUCCCUUGUUAUCUCUCGGAAAUUAGGGUCCUACGGAGUGGGAGUUUGGGUUCAUGAAAUUGGCACGGUAGAAAAGUAAGACCUCUUAUGCUGGCAUUUGGAACGUAGUAAUCCGGAAACAGCUUACCGCUGGUGAUGUUAAAAGUGGUUAUCUAACAUUAAGAGGCUUUGCGGUCAUAGCUAGUUGUGGGUAAAGCUACAAGGCGCGAUGCAUAGCCGCCUAGAGGUUAUCGGCCACACGGGACUGAGACACGGCCCAGACUCCUACGGGAGGCAGCAGUAGGGAUCUUCCGCAAUGGGCGAAAGCCUGACGGAGCAACGCCGCGUGAGUGAAGAAGGAUUUCGGUUCGUAAAGCUCUGUUGUUAGGGAAGAAUGAUUGUGUAGUAACUAUACACAGUAGAGACGGUACCUAACCAGAAAGCCACGGCUAACUACGUGCCAGCAGCCGCGGUAAUACGUAGGUGGCAAGCGUUGUCCGGAAUUAUUGGGCAUAAAGGGCAUCUAGGCGGCCUGACAAGUCAGGGGUGAAAACCUGCGGCUCAACCGCAGGCCUGCCUUUGAAACUGUAAGGCUGGAGUACCGGAGAGGUGGACGGAACUGCACGAGUAGAGGUGAAAUUCGUAGAUAUGUGCAGGAAUGCCGAUGAUGAAGAUAGUCCACUGGACGGAAACUGACGCUGAAGUGCGAAAGCCGGGGGAGCGAACAGG